GUUAAAAAGAACAAAGAAAGAAAGAUGGAUAGGUUUUAUUCUUAUAGUACUACAAAGAAGUUUUUUUUAUCAAUUCAUUUAUUACCUGCAAUAUGAAAAAUGUAGUAUAUGUUCUCGUAUGCCCAUGUGGUCUCCAAUAUGUGGGGAAAACAUCUAGGCCCCUUAAGAUUAGGAAAUGAGAACAAAUAUAUAAUAUCAAAAGAGGAUAUGCUAAUCAUAGCGUAUCCCUACAUUGUUUAGAGAAUCACGAUAAAAAAACUGACUUUCUUUUAUUUUUUGGAG